GACGAACGCUGGCGGCGUGCUUAACACAUGCAAGUCGAACGGAAAGGCCCUGCUUUUGUGGGGUGCUCGAGUGGCGAACGGGUGAGUAACACGUGAGUAACCUUCCCUGGACUUUUGGAUAACUUCAGGAAACUGGGGCUAAUACCGGAUAGGAGCUCCUGCUGCAUGGUGGGGGUUGGAAAGUUUCGGCGGUUGGGGAUGGACUCGCGGCUUAUCAGCUUGUUGGUGGGGUAGUGGCUUACCAAGGCUUUGACGGGUAGCCGGCCUGAGAGGGUGACCGGCCACAUUGGGACUGAGAUACGGCCCAGACUCCUACGGGAGGCAGCAGUGGGGAAUAUUGCACAAUGGGCGGAAGCCUGAUGCAGCAACGCCGCGUGCGGGAUGACGGCCUUCGGGUUGUAAACAGCUUUCGCCUGUGACGAAGCGUGAGUGACGGUAAUGGGUAAAGAAGCACCGGCUAACUACGUG
rnacentral:rRNA from 1 species